rnacentral:rRNA from 1 species
AUUGAACGCUGGCGGCAGGCCUAACACAUGCAAGUCGAGCGGAACGGCGGACGGGUGAGUAAUGCCUAGGAAUCUUCCUGUUAGUGGGGGAUAACGUCCGGAAACUGGCUCUCAUACCGCAUACUAUCAGAUGAGCCUAGGUCGGAGGAGCUAGUUGGUGGGGUAAAGUCCUACCAAGGCUACUAUACGUAAGUGGUCUGAGAGGAUGAUCAGUAACAGUGGAACUGAGACACGGUCCAGACUCCUACGGGAGGCAGCAGUGUGGAAUAUUGGACAAUGGGCGAAAGCCUGAGACAGCCAUGCCGCGUGUGGGAAGAAGGUCUUCGGAUUGUAAAGCACUUUAAGUUGGGAGGCGUUACCAACAGAAUAAGCACCGGCUAACUUCGUGCCAGCAGCCGCGGUAAUUC